rnacentral:rRNA from 1 species
AGAUUGAACGCUGGCGGCAUGCCUAACACAUGCAAGUCGAGCGGCAGCGCGGGGGCGACCCUGGCGGCGAGCGGCGGACGGGUGAGUAAGGCAUCGGAAUCUGCCCUGAUGUGGGGAUAACGCAGCGAAAGUGGUGCUAAUACCGGAUACGCUCCUCUGGUCGCAUGGCCGGAGGAGGGAAGGGGAAACCCGCAGGAGGAGGGCUCGCGGCCCAUUAAUGGCGCACCAAGGCGACGAUGGGUAGCCGGCCUGAGAGGGUGAACGGCCACACUGGGACUGAGAUACGGCCCAGACUCCUACGGGAGGCAGC